rnacentral:rRNA from 1 species
CGGAGGAAAGUAGGGGAUCGAAAGACCUUGCGCUUUUGGAGCGGCCGAUAUCUGAUUAGCUAGUUGGUAAGGUAAAAGCUUACCAAGGCGACGAUCAGUAGUUGGUCUGAGAGGACGACCAGCCACACUGGGACUGAGACACGGCCCAGACUCCUACGGGAGGCAGCAGUGGGGAAUUUUGGACAAUGGGCGCAAGCCUGAUCCAGCAAUGCCGCGUGAGUGAAGAGGGCCUUCGGGUUGUAAAGCUCUUUCAGUUGAGAAGAAAAGAUUGUGACUAAUAAUUGCAAUUCAUGACGGUAUCAAUAGAAGAAGCACCGGCUAACUACGUGCCAGCAGCCGCGGUAAUACGUAGGGUGCGAGCGUUAAUCGGAAUUACUGGGCGUAAAGCGUGCGCAGGCGGUUUUGUAAGACAGGCGUGAAAUCCCCGGGCUCAACCUGGGAACUGCGUUUGAAACUACAAAGCUAGA